rnacentral:rRNA from 1 species
UACGGGGGGGGCAAGCGUUGUUCGGAAUUACUGGGCGUAAAGGGCUCGUAGGUGGCCAACUAAGUCAUACGUGAAAUCCCUCAGCUUAACUGGGGAACUGCGUCUGAUACUGGAUGGCUUGAGUUUGGGAGAGGGAUGCGGAAUUCCAGGUGUAGCGGUGAAAUGCGUAGAUAUCAGGAGGAACACCAACGGCGAAGGCAGAGCUCUGGGCCGUAACUGACGCUGAGGAGCGAAAGCAUGGGGAGCGAACAGG